UACGGGGGGGGCAAGCGUUGUUCGGAAUUACUGGGCGUAAAGAGCUCGUAGGCGGUCUGUCGCGUCGGCUGUGAAAACCCGGGGCUCAACCCCGGGCCUGCAGUCGAUACGGGCAGACUAGAGUGUGGUAGGGGAGACUGGAAUUCCUGGUGUAGCGGUGAAAUGCGCAGAUAUCAGGAGGAACACCGGUGGCGAAGGCGGGUCUCUGGGCCAUAACUGACGCUGAGGAGCGAAAGCGUGGGGAGCGAACAGG
rnacentral:rRNA from 1 species